CUGACAGCCCAGAGACUGGAGCCUGCUUUGAAUCCUGUGUCUCCCUCUCUCUCUGCCCCUCCCCUGCUCGUGCUCUGCGUUUCUCUGUCUCUCAAAAAUAAACAAACAUUGAAAAAAAAAUUUUUUUUAAAGGAUUUCCAAAAGAGAUGUGACAUUCUGCACCUGAAACUGCCAUAGCCACCUUGGGGCCAUGAGAGACCAAGCCUGCAGGACGAAGCCAACAAGCCGGGAUAACAGAUGCCAAGGACCACGCUGAGCCAUGAGUCCCCGCAAGAGCCCUUGCUAAGUGGGCUCGUGGGUUUUCCUUACUGUGAGAGCAGGCUGAGGUCCUCAGAAACUUAGCUUCAGAAAACUGACUUAGAAGGACAAAGGCAUGGAUGCAGGAAGCCGAUUCAGGAAAGACAGCCAUUGGCAAACACGAAUGCUCUGGAGACGAACCAUUUCUGCAAAUGAGGCACAGAGCCCACCAGACUCUUACCCCUGAUGUCAUCUAGCCUCUCCUGUGUGAGUCAAAGACACUGCCUGAGGGACAUCAUCUCUCUCUCCCUUUCUAGACCACAGAACAGAAUCGCCUAGCAACUGUUUCCAGCCAGUACAUUCUAUUCAUUCCAUCGCCCAAAGACAACAUUAAGUCACACGCCCUCUGGAAAACCGAGGCCAGGAAUGGUGUGGCACCACACUGAGGUGUCUCUGGAUAAACAGCAAACCUCCCUAAGUGAGUCAAGUGCUCCAUAAAUCUCAGCAUCAUGACAUCCCGCUGGGGCCCCUGUGGGUCUGCCGCCACCGCCACCGUCAUCAACGACGAUGUGUCAGCUAAUCGUGUUAUCAUCUAAGUGAAAAUGCAAAAUUUUUAAGUGUUUGUAGAACUGGCAGAUUCCUGAGACUAUCUCUCAGCACUCAGUUUGAGAAGCAGGUCUGGACAUCCAUAAACCAACUGUUCUGUUUCUCAUGGAAGAAAAGCCUGAAGUACAGCCAGUGGGACCGAGAGGCGCAAGUGAGGAACUCCAUGAGGAAUGCCAAUAAUUCUGAUGCCACAGCACCACCCCAGGAGUGCAUGAAGAAACAGCACAACGACGAGAGGUGGUUUCCCGAGCUGGGUCAGACCGUGGGCCUGGCCCAGACAUCACAAACCUCCAGGCCGCUGGGCUCCGUGCUGCUCCUGGCUGGCCCCCAGCUCCAGCCUCCACAGCCUGGGAGAUAAGAGGAUAAUGGUGGCAGGAACAGAGUAAAAGAGCUCCUGUUCCCAACUCAGGGUUUAAAAAAAGUUCAUCAUAAUGGUCAGAGCUCUGAAGGCUCACUCUGUGUGACCGAUCGUGACAACCCCUCCCAUACCCCAUAAGCGCUGCCUCCGGGACGGGCAUGGAAGCAGAACGCACAAGCAGAUGUCUCCAGCCCACAGGUGGAAGGAUUAAGGGUUGAAAAGAAAAAGAUCCUGGACUACUGGAUCAAAGAUGAGUAGUUGUUAAAAUCUUGAAGCCUCCUCUCUGUGGGAAACCUCUUCAGUCAGCCCCACUAGAGUCGAACACAGAUCAACUGCUACUCCUCCAGAGGCAGGUGACUGGGCAAGCGGCCUGGAGCCACCCUCCUUUAGACCCACAACCUGCAUGUAGCUGCUGGACCAUUUUAUCCAAAGGCACCAUGGGCAGUGUGCACAGUCUACGAGCUUUUCCAGGUUAUAAAAACAGU